UACGGAGGAUGCAAGCGUUAUCCGGAUUUAUUGGGCGUAAAGCGUCCGCAGGUGGCUAUUCAAGUCUGCUGUCAAAGCUCGGAGCUUAACUCCGAAUCGGCGGUGGAAACUGAACAGCUAGAGUGCAGUAGGGGUAGAGGGAAUUCCCAGUGUAGCGGUGAGAUGCGUAGAGAUUGGGAAGAACACCGGUGGCGAAAGCGCUCUACUGGACUGCAACUGACACUCAGGGACGAAAGCUAGGGGAGCGAAUGGG
rnacentral:rRNA from 1 species